UACGAAGGGGGCUAGCGUUGUUCGGAAUUACUGGGCGUAAAGCGCGCGUAGGCGGCUUGUAAGUUAGAGGUGAAAGCCCGGAGCCUCGAACUCCGGAACUGCCUUUAAGACUGCAUCGCUUAGAAUUGUGGAGAGGUGAGUGGAAUUCCGGAGUGUAGAGGUGAAAUUCGUAGAUAUUCGGAAGGAACACCAGUGGCGAAGGC
rnacentral:rRNA from 1 species